GGUUCGAUUAUGGCUCAGAUUGAACGCUGGCGGGGAUGCUUUACACAUGCAAGUCGAACGGCAGCACGGACUUCGGUGGUCUGGUGGCGAGUGGCGAACAGGUGAGUAAUGUAUCGGAACGUGCCUAGUAGCGGGGGAUAACUGUAGCGUAGCUAAUGCCGCAUACGCCCUUCGAAGCAGGGGACCUUCGGGCCUCGCACUAUUAGAGCGGCCGAUAUCGGAUUAGCUAGUUGGUGGGAGUAACGGCUCACCAAGGCGACGUCCGUAGCUGGUUUGAGAGGACGACCAGCCACACUGGGACUGAGACACGGCCCAGACUCCUACGGGAGGCAGCAGUGGGGAAUUUUGGACAAUGGGGAAACCCUGAUCCAGCCAUCCCGCGUGUGCGAUGAAGGCCCUUCGGGUUGUAAAGCACUUUUGGCAGGAAAGAAACGGCACGGGAUAAUACCCCGUGCAACUGACAGUACCUGCAGAAUAAGCACCGGCUAACUACGUGCCAGCAGCCGCGGUAAUACGUAGGGUGCAAGCGUUAAUCGGAAUUACUGGGCGUAAAGCGCGUGCGCAGGCGGUUCGGAAAGAAAGAUGUGGAAAUCGGAAGCUUAACCUGGAACUGCAUUUUUUUUAACUACCGAGCUAGAGUGUGUCAGAGGAGGGGUGGAAUUCCGCGUGUAGCAGUGAAAUGCGUAGAUAUGCGGAGGAACACCGAUAGCGAAGAGCAGCCUCCUGGGAUAACACUGACGCUCAUGCACGAAAGCGUGGGAGCAAACAGGAUUAGGUACCUGGUAGUCCACGCCCUAAACGAUGUCAACUAGCUGUUGGGGCCUUCGGGCCUUGGUAGCGCAACUAACCGCGUGAAGUUGACCGCCUGGGAAGUACAGUCGCAAGAUUAAAACUCAAAGGAAUUGACGGGGACCCGCACAAGCGGUGGAUGAUGUGGAUUAAUUCGAUGCAACGCGAAAAACCUUACCUACCCUUGACAUGUCUGGAAUCCCGAAGAGAUUUGGGAGUGCUCGCAAGAGAACCGGAACACAGGUGCUGCAUGGCUGUCGUCAGCUCGUGUCGUGAGAUGUUGGGUUAAGUCCGCUUGAAAGCGCAACCCUUGUCAUUAGUUGCUACGAAAGGGCACUCUAAUGAGACUGCCGGUGACAAACCGGAGGAAGGUGGGGAUGACGUCAAGCCCUCAUGGCCUUAUGGUGGGACUACACGUCUACAAUGGUCGGGACAGAGGGUCGCCAACCCGCGAGGAGAACCAAUCCCAGAAACCCGAUCGUAGUCCAGGUCGCGGUCUGCAACUCGACUGCGUGAAGUCGAAUCGCUAGUAAUCGCGGAUCAGCAUGUCGCGGUGAAUACGUUCCAGGUCUUGUACACACCGCCCGUCACACCAUGGGAGUGGGUUUUGCAGAAGUAGUUAGCCUAACCGUAAGGGAGGGCGAUUACCACAGUAGGAUUCAUGACUGGGGUGAAGUCGUAACAAGGUAA
rnacentral:rRNA from 1 species